rnacentral:lncRNA from 1 species
UUCCAAGUUCGUCCUUCUGAGGUUGGACUGCAUCCGUUGAAAGCCGAUGAUGCAUCGUGCCAUGAAACCACACAGGGACUGUGCUCUGGUAUGCAGCAUCUCUUUCCAUCAGCGAGAUAGAGAAGGAUACGGAACGUCUACAGCUUGUGAAUGAAAUAUGAGGCAAGGGUUCCAGUAAGCCAGAAGACUGGUGUUUGCUUGGCUGACUCAAGAACUGAACCGUACAGAAAUGAACAAUCAGGUCUUCAACACUGGGAUGCAAUUUCAGGAUAGUGAUCAUCUAUAGUGGGCUCAAAAGCCAAAUGAGAAGAAGGCAUUUGUGUGUUGCAACCGGGAUAGUAAUGUUCACCUAGCCCCGGAUGAGUCUGUGUGUGUUUUGUGUUUUCUGGACAUCCCAGGAUGCUGUGGUGAAACCCAGCCAACAGGAAUCACAGCAACUACAAAGAAAGAAAAAGAGAGAUUAGAAGGACCUAGUGUUCAGCCUACAAACAUUGCAUUUUCAAAAACACUUGGGGUUCUUUUCUUGGUCUGUCUUGCUGGUCAUCUGCUAAUUCCUGCAGUGUUGGACCUCUGUCCUCUCUGCCUCCGUGUCUGGAUUGCUGCUGUGCUCCCUCAGAGCUCCUUCCUGUCGGAAGACCACUCCCGAUUCCUUUAUGCACAUGGCUCCAGGGUAGGUUUUAAAUGGAGGUGGGGUUUUCUCCUUUCUUUCUGUCUCUCAUCUUAGUCCCACGUGGCUUUGAUGACAGAGGAUGGGGACAGCCUUAAUUCUGUACUUCCCUCUGCCCCUACUUUGAAUGCGGUGUUUUGAUCCUCAG